AAAAAAAAAAAGUAAAUUUCGCUCUUGCAAUAUUCGUAUUAUCAUUAUUAUUAUAUUAUUAAAUGUAUAUUAUAUUUUGUUAGUAUACCUACUUAAUACGUGAUUAGCUCGUCCAUAAUAUAAGCUGAACAAUAUAAUUGCAAACACCUAACUAUUUCUUCGAAUUUGAAACUACGUGACCCUAAAUCGAGAGAACGCCGCGCGGUUCUUCAGUAAUCAGUAUAAUAAUGAUAAUAAUUAAUAAUCGUAAUAAUAUGCAUGUACGUUUCGUAUAUAAUAAUAUAAUCUACCUAUAGUAUGUUAUGUAAAUGUAAAAGCGAUUAUUUUCCUAAUUAUUUUUUAGUAAUCAAUGUAAUACAUUAUGGUAAUCACUUCGGUUUCGGCCGUCGAUACACAUAUUAAUUUAAUGUGUUUAGGUAUAAUAAUAAGGCAUAUUAUAAAACUGCGGCGACGUGAUAAAUCCGAAAAUUGAGUUUGCAUAAUAUAAAAUAUAUUGUUAAUAUAACUUAUUAAAAUAUACAGUGUGAGCGCGUGUUUUUCUCAGACCAUUAGCAUUCCAUGUCAUAUACGCUUCGUGGUAUCCUUAUGCGUGCGUAAUAUUGUACUUGCAGCAUAAGUUUUAAUUAUGUAGUAAUUAUUAUAUACUAUUUUUUUUACAGAGAAACUUUCUAUAUUGUAACGUCAUUUUUGUUUUAGUCGAUCCCCGCUCGUCACCAUCCGAAUGCAAAUUCAAAUUGUGUCUAUAGCAAAAUUUUUACUCUAAUGCCAAAACUGUUCAACAUUAUAUUAUAUUAUAGACCUGAAACCACCAUAAUAUUUAGUGUUUAACACACCAAUCACGUGUGUUUCUCCUAUUUGCGAACCGGUUGUGCGUGUACAGAAAUGAAAAACAUAUGAAAUACGACUGCACGGUGUUUAUAAUAUAUAAAUAGGUAUUAGAAAACAUUAUAUUAUUAUGUCUAUAUGGGCAUAGUCUAUACGCGCAGUUUAUUUUGAUUUAAUUUAAUUCAUUUUUUUUUUGUUUCUAAUGCGGUGAAGGUUGCCGAUUCGCAAUUUGAAUGCUAAUUGACAAUGGUAUUGGGAAAAAAAAACAACACCAAACGCCGCACGUGAAAACUGUCGAUAUAGAAAUAAUAAUUCUAGGUGGUUCCGUCGCGUCCAAGUCCGACGAUAAUAAUAUAAUACACACACUUAUAUAUUAUAUACGAGUAAAAUGCGUGUACAGUUUUUCCUUUGUUUAAAUAGUUUUCGUGAGAACUCGUGUGUAGUAAAAAUAAUAUAUUAUAUAGUGAAUAAUGCUAUAUAUUAUAUUAUGUAUAGGUAGGUAUUAUACGCGUGUAUUAUGUAUGUGCCAUUGGAAACGACGUGUGCUUGGCAAAUCGCUUUUUUGGCAACGUUUCUCGGUAACAAUCACGUAUUCAUUAUUUUUGAUCGAUUACAAUAAUACGAUGCGUGCACAAGGGAAAUUUCAGGGUAGGUACGUGCAAUUUAUGUAUUUUUCUACCGCAUAUAUAAAGCGUAUAUCCACUGUAUAUGUAUGCGGGUGAAUAUUGUAUACACAUAGCCGUAGAACUCUAUGCAUAGAAUAUAAUUUAGUCACGUACAUUGAAAACAUAAUUGUAUAACGGCCUGGUGUUGUUUAACGCGAAUUCGUUAGGAAUAUUACGAAUGGCGCGCGUUUUACUGUAACGACUAUGGAACGAAAAAAAAAAAUGAAAAGUGUCAGGUAAACGAAUUAUUGUUUUCGACAUAUUAAUUUUGAAUCGUGUACUGUAGUUCGUUAUUCAAACAAUAUUUAGUUUUUUUUUUACGCAUUUCCACCUGAAUCAUAUAGGUACCGAUUAUAUUAUAUUAUAAUUGCAUUUGUUUGUUUUUAUUGUAUGAAAUAUUUAAUGUGUACCAUAAUAAUAUUAUUACUAAAGCAACUUCUGCAGGAUGUUUAAAUCGUGGGAAAUCAAUCUUUAACAAUGCCUUCCCAAUUUCCUCCGAACGUCGCUUGUCUCAGCUCUGUUGCAGACGUUCAAAAAAUAGAGUGCCUACUGUUCCUAAUAAGAAGUCUGUUGGAAAAAAAAUAUCACUAACACAUAUUUUAUAUCGUGCUUGGUAGUUCGAAUCAUGUUAAUUAGGCUUAUGUGAAACACGUGUUAGAUUAAUGAGAUAUUCUGAAGUAAUAAAUUAAUGAAAAACGAUUGAAUUUGUUUUUUCUCAUAUCAUUAGGAACUAUUAUGCACAUCAAAAUCAUUUAAUUCUAAUCAACUAUUUUUUUUUUUAAUUAUUAUUAUUGCAACUGUAUUCUUAGGUUACAGUCUGCAUCAUUAUAGGUGCGCAUAUAUCAGACUUAUAGAUUUUAAUAUUGUUAAUCGAAUUAUGAGCAAUCACAUCACCAUGUGUAAGUGUAAUAUGCUUAUGAGUUAUGAUAUCAUAAUAAUAAUAUAUAACCGACAAUAACGACGCGCACGAACAACUACUGUGACCUUUUAUCAAAAAAUAAAAUACUAUUAUUGAAACACAAAGCGAGAUAAUUUCUGAAUAUUAUAUACAUUCGUUUUCGAAUUUAAAACAUGAAUAACUACCACAUCGUCGUCUUCGUGCAUAUUAUAGUCACGCAUAAAUAAUAUUAAACCAUAUAUGACUAAUUAUACAUAAUAUUAUUAUAAGUGUGUGUUAUUAUACAAGUAUGUAACUCCUCAAAAUAGGCGCGAUUGUAUAGUAUAAUAUGUCUUGUAAUUAUAUUAAUAUCGUUUCUAUCGUGGCAGGCAGUAGACUGUGGGCCUGUGGGGUUGCAACAUGUAAUGUAUAUUAUGAAUGUGUAUAUAAUAUUAUAUGUAUGCAGGGAAGGUAAUAAUAGUACUGAUGACAGCCAAUGGUGAUUACUGAUUGUUAGCAUUGUGAAGCCAGUCUUGUUUUAUAAUACAUGGCAGUUCUCAACGGACACCGAUCAGUGAGAGGCUACGAGGCGUCCAAGUUUGUGAGUAUAAUUAUGCGAAUAUCUAUUUAAGUAUAUAACAAUAUAUUAUACUAUAGAUGAUGGAUUGAUGAUUUUCGAUUGAAGUUACUUACUUAAAGAUCUUUUUUUUCAAUCUGACCCUGUCGUUAAAAUAAGAUGAGAUAUGGCGUGGGUUUUGAUAAUGGAUCAAAUAAAUAAAUAUAUGUUUGGAAAAAAACUAUUCCUAUCUGCAGGGUCCAACGAAUAACGACUCUCCCCGGAUAUCGUAUAAUAUACUGACCACGUUACAGGGUUAUAAUACUGUCAUCUGGAUUGUGGUCUGAUUGUACCUAUAUCUAAGAUGGGGUGCAGAGCGGUCUUGAAGAUUUUUAUCAAUGUGUCGGGGAACAACGUUUGAAUUUCAAAGAAAAACCAGUUUAUAGGUAUAACUCAAUAAACCUGUUUUUGUCCGGGCGGCGUGUCCCUCUCUAUGGAUAAUGAGUAUAUUCUCCUCACCGGAGAACCUGUAUAUAUUCCAUGUAAUAGGUAUAUACAAGUAGGUACCCAUAUUAUAAGUUAUUUUUAACCAUCAUGCUUUGUUUAUAAGAAAAAAAAACAAGUUAGUCUCGGUUGAUAAAUUAUUUAAAAAGUAUGUUUUAAAUUAUUAUUUGUUGGCAUAUACUGUUUCAACUGAAAAUAUUGUUCAAUACUUCAAUGUGACAGUCACGAGAAGUCCCAGUAUACAAUACGAUGGUGCUAUAGUAAAACACGUUCAACCUUAUUGAUUGAAUAUAGCUGCUGUUAUUUUCAUUAUCAGUUUCUUGAUGUAUGCUAGCAAUGUGUCGGAAACCAAGAAAUUUUCCUUUCCAAUGAUAUUGGAAAAGCGGCAGCCUACGUUGUUUUGUUGCCAAUACAUAUAGCCAUAUAGACGAUAAUAUAGCAUUUCAUAUUCGGUGGAUUCUUUUAUGUUCAACCUGUAUAACAUUAAGGUAUACAAUAUAAUAUGUAUUAUGCAUGCAUAAAAAUAUAAAUAUCGCUGUCGUCCGGGUGAUAUAGUUUUAUCAUCGGUUGGAUUAGGGUUCGGAGGAGAUAUUUAUAAUUUAUAUAUCUAUAUAUAUAUAUAUUAUAUUGGUUAGCUAGAAUAUGACGGAUAACGUUAUGAAAUACGAUAAGUAGGUACGUAAAAAAUAAAACCGCGGAAAACGCACCCAAUGCUCUGGAAAAAGGGACGCGUGCAAAUAUACAGACGCGUAAUGUCGGUACAGCUGAAUUCACCAUGUAUGCUCACCCCCGUUAUUUCUUCAACAACGAAUCUAUUCAAAUUCUGUUUUUUGGAAUCUCAAAGUCCAUUUAAAGACGAUAUUUUCAAUUAUUAGGCCUUUUCUGUCUGUAGCAAUUAUCAGAGUGUCCUCUGGCGAUAUCAACGUCUAUUUUUGAUAAGUAUAGCCCUAUAUUCAUAUAAAAGUCCAUGGCAAUGGAUUCGAGAGAUUGGCUUUGAUAAUUUUAAAAUAAGUAUUUAUCUAUCAACAUUAUAAUAUAAUUUGUAAACAAUUGCCCGAGUAUGAUAAAUACUAGAUCCUAUAUUACAUCUAUUUUAGAUUUUAGAUUCAGAGCGUAGCGAUUAUCAACUCUCAAAUAGGGUUAUUGUAGCUAAUUGAAUCCAUAGUUGGUACUUUUGUGAGGUAAAAAUGGAAAAACUCUACCAGUACUUUCUAAAAUAAUCGAGAAAAACUAAAAUAAAAUACAAACAUUUGUUAAUAAAAUAAUUAUUUGGUAACCUAGACAAAUUUUGCUUAUAAUCGUUUUUCUUCGAAUACAAUAAAUUUAUAAUGAUUGAAUUCAAGUUUAACACACCUGCAUUACGAUGCUUACUCAAUGACGAGGUACACUCGACUACUACCGAACAGCAGAGGGGUUAUGUCUACUUACUUUCCCCCCUUUUUCGAAACGAAAUCAUCUGCUUAGUCUUUUUUAUUGUAAAAAAGAACGGUUGUCAUUUGUUUUAAUAAAAAGAAGUUUACUCAUCGCCACAGGACAUUUCCUCACUGCAGAUGGUAUAAAAUACUUAUUUAACUAAUUAAAAAUAUGGCCCUCGAGUAGUUAGGGGUAUAAUACUAUAAUAUGUCUAUAUACCGCUCAAAAGCUCCAAAAAUAAUAUAAUAUUUGAAUAUAAUAAUAUAACUAAAGGGUUAAAUGCUGGGCCGAGCAUGCUCGGUGGAUCGCCCUGUAUACAAUAUUGUUGUUUACGUGCGAGGUGUAUAUAUGUAUAGAAAUAUGAGUCAAACGCUCGCUCGCGAGAUUUAUGUCGAACGAUUAAUCGUGUAAAUACCCGUGUAUCGGUGCUGCAGCUGUGGCAGCGUGCGCGGAAAAUUCCGCGGCGGUGAUUUAUCGACGGCGUCGUCGGAUUCGCGUGCGUUUCGCAGUCGCGGGAAAACGAAAGCAGCGCUUUUAACCUAUAUACCGUGUACAACGUAAUGUGCGGCAAAACGAAUAUUAUAUUAUUAUGACGUACACACGGCGAAGUCCGCGAGCCGAAAAUCAUCGCCCGCCUUUUUAUCAUCGUCAUCAUCGUCAGUAUUAUUACUAUUAUAAUAUACGACUGCUAUAAUAUAUAAUGUACGUCGUCGGAGCGGCGUACAAUAAUAAUAUGUACAACGACACACGCACUAAAAGUUCGUUUCGGAUGGCCGCGAUAAUACACACACACACACGCAUACACCCAGAUAAGGAUCCCGUAAUUAAUGUACGCAUUAGCCUCGGUAUACGUUAUAUAUAUAUAUAUAUAUAUAUAUUAUAAUAUAUUGUACGAGUGUCCCGGUGCGAGUGCGGCUGUGGAGGCCCAUUAUUUCCGUGCAACCGGCCGUUGUGCAGGCGGCGGCGGUGGGCUGCUGCGAGCUGCUGUUGCGGCGAGAAAUGCAUUUCGAAUUAGAUACGCACACCGCAUAUACCGUAUACACACGUAUAAAAUAUAUAUUAUAUAUGAUACAUAAUAUGUAUAUAAUGUCGUAGGCUGUACAGCUAUACGCGGUGACUACCUAUACAUAAUAUAAUAUAUAGGUGGUACAUAUUAUGUGGUAUAUAUAAUAGUACUUCGUAUAUAUCAUAUAUACGUGCGGGUGUGCGUGUGCGGUAUAACGUUAUGUGGUUAUCCCGCGAGCGCACGAUAACAUCAUAAUAUAUUAUGUAUAUAAUAUAUAAUAUAUAUAUAUAUAUCGGAAACAUAAAACGGCGGCGGCUCUAGAAGGGGGGUGCGAAGGCGCGCGCUCAAUUGUCGGGUAAUGCGAAAAAAAUUUAGAUGGAUUUUACGCCUAACUAUUCGCAGUUUUCCGUCGUAUUAUUAAAUAUGUAUCAAUAUAAUAUUAAUCGCGUAAAUACAUCAGCACCGGCCGCGUACCUAACCUACACAUAUUUCGCGUAUAGUCGUGUCGCAAACUCGUAACGACUUUACAAUGUUUCAAAUAUUUUAUCCGUUUUGCUGUUUUGCACUCCGCGCAUCUCACCCGCCGGCCGUUAUAGUACGUCUCGUGUAAUUUUUUUUUUACAUAUUUAAGAAUUUGAUACGCGUUACAAAAUUCGAUUAAACCUGUUACCGAAGCCGCGGAUGCUUGCGUAUAAAUUAUUAUAUUGUAUACGAUCGAUUUACUUUUGUGUACGCUGUAUAUUAUAUAGUUAAUUGCGACGGACGUGACUUUUAUAACUCGCAUGUAUAUACCGCGGCGCAUGUAUAUUGAGUGUGUUUAUAGCUUAUGAUGAUAAUAAUUCGAAAGCGCUUUUUACGGUUCUUUAAAUCAAUUCUAUGGUCUCACGGUGUUUUUUGUAACACCUUUUUGAAAUUGGCAUAUAAAUAUAUAUAUAUGUUUUCGAGUGUACCUGCGCAUAUAAUAUAUACGCGAGACAGCGUCGUUCGCCGCCUUAUACGUAUUAUUAUAAACACCGACCCCGUUUUACGAUCGUCCGAUCGACGGCGGACAUUUUAUUCGAACGUCGUGUUGGUAACAAAAAAAAAAUAUAAAUAUAAAAUGUGUAAAUCGAUUCAAACCGCACCGCGAUAGCACGUCAUGCUGCAGGAUACAUGGAAAAAAGUUUCGAGCCAAGUCCCGCGCGGUCGAAAGUUCUGCGUUAUAGUGACUGCAUCAUUUGUCUCUUCCGCUGUCGUAUAUACCCAUGGGUGCAAAUAGCGUUUGGGAUUCGGGGAGACUAAAGUCUUACUUUGAUAAUAUUAAAUAAGCUUAAAACAAAAUGUAGGAAAUGUUUAGGGGGCCAUUGACAUUUUUUGGGGGGGCUUAGGCCUUAAAACCCCACCCCUAUUUGCCUCGCCACGCAGCAGUUGACACGUGGGAGUUAUCGUACGUUAUCGUAUAUAAGCGCAUCGAUUGACGUUGUUAUAUUAUUAUAGACACUCCGCGCACAAGUAUGUAACAUAAUACAUUUGAUUGAUAACGGGCAGUAAUAGGCGAAUGACGACGAUAACACAAUAUACGCAUAUUAUGGUAAUAAUAGUGUACAGAUGACGCGAGCGCGUUCUCCCGGAAAACCGUCGUAUAGGAGGUUGUGUCGGAGAAGCGAUUUUAACGCCUGCGGGGGGGUGCGCGGUUGUCUUCGAGUGCACGAUUUCUACGGAAAACGCCCGUGCCAAAGACCCGCGAUCCUUUGUGCCGGCCGACACGCAUCACGACCCAACGCGUAUAUAACAUUACAUUAUAUUCUACACGUCUUGUAUUGUACCUAUAGGUGUAUAAUAUAAUAUAUUAUGUGCGCGUGAAUAUGACGUUUGUUCGGUGUUUACAAUGUGUGCCGAUCGGCGGACCCUAUGGCCGGACCCGCUGCAAAGUCGUCGUUAAAUGCGUGUGUGUUUGUGUGUUUGUCACACACAUGUCGGGACGGAACGUUUACGAAGACGUACCUCUGUAUAAAUAAUGAUGUACGCAGUGGAAAAUCUAUAUAAUAUUGUACUCGUUGGACAAUAACGCGUUUCGUGUCCGCCGUACGAUACUAUACGGUGUACGCAUAUUAUAUGGCCAUGUAUUAUUCCGUUUUAUAUUUGUGUAUAGUUAUAGACUAUAGAUCAUUUAAAUCGUGUACCUACGCCGGACGCCGGUAAUCAUUUAAAAACGACCACAGUUUUUCGCUCUAAUCUUCAUCUUGCUAGUAUAACAGGAAACGUUCGUUUAUAAUGGAGAUGGUAUACAAAACGUUUGCCUGCUGCGGACGGGUGGUGCAUCGUUAAUGAUUAAAAUAAAAAAAAAAACGUUUUCUCCAAACAAAAUGAAAAAUUUGAAAAACGGAAAAUGCAUAUUUAUAUCUUGUUUUUCCCAGCAUGAUUGUUAUGGAGAUCGAAAAUACCUGGUUUCAAAA